ensembl:lncRNA
CAUGUGGUUAGAACUUGCCUUUGCUCAGGAAAUAGCUACUCUAGUGAUAAUGGGCUUCCAUAAAGUUGUUCAACAAACGUCGGGAGAUGGCCAGGAUAUGGAUUACAUCCAACUAGUUUCUAUUUGGGUUGUCAACUGUCAAACCUGAGACUAGUGUGUUGGGAACGAAGAAAAAUUCAAAGGGGGCAUGAGGAUACAGUUUUGCAGGAAGAAGAGCAGAGGAAGGCCCCAGAGUUUUCCAAGCUGGAGUUUUGAAGCUGAAAGAUAAGGAUGUUUGUGCCCAGCGUGAAAUAGCAGGAAUCCUCUCAAUGUGAGGUAAAAGGCUCAUUUUCAGCUCAGAUUGCUCUGGCUCCAAACGCUGUUACUCCCCGCGUCUCAUCUCUCCAUCCAUAUGCCUCUUUCUCCAUCUCUUUCUCUACCUCUCUCUCCCCCUCCUUAUCCCUCGCCUCUUCUGCCCUUUGAUAAUUGCACAGAGCCCCCAUGCAACAGCAGGCAAGACUUUUAUUAGGUGUGGCACGGUGUCAGGGAAUGGCCACAGCCUCCGAACAGGGAUGGACAGAGUACUGGCACUCAGUGGAAUACUCACCAAAAACCAACACGCACUGCAGACACCAAACAAAAACUCCCUUGCUUUCCUUAAGUAAUGAAACUCUUUGGUUGAAACGGGAAAUCCCCCUGCUUCCACCCAGCGGGCCUCACUGCAGCGUAGACCGGCAUUAAUCUCAUUAUGACUCUGACUGUGAGUGGGAUUGGAUUGGAAGGGAGCCGGAGCUCUGAAUAAACAGUGGGAUGCGAGAGGCUGUCCACCUGAUGAUGCCACUCCUCCUUCUCCACUAGAGCCUCAGGCUGCCUGGCUGGCCCACUGUUGGACUGCAAUGAAUGAGCGGUUUCAGAGGAAGAUUGGAUUUGAGAUUUGUGUGCACGACCACUGUUGGAAAAGGGCUGUCUGCGUAUGUAUCUGUGGGAGAGUGUGAAGGUCAGUUAGUUCGUUUUUUUCUGUGUAUGUCUUUAGAUCACAUUGUGUAUUAGAUAGAUUUGGUCUUUCCAAGGGGACUUGCCCUCUAUGUGUUUCCCUUCUGACCCUCUGUUACGCUGUGGGCCUACGGACCCAUCAGUCACAGUCUCAUCCUGGGGCCUGUGUGGCACCUCUGGUCCCUUCUUCCCUCAGCCCUCCAAUCAACAUACUGACUGCACCAUCGCUGUAUCUUGUCUAAUGCAGCAGUUUGUGUGUGUGUGUGUGUGUGUGUGUGUUCAUAAAAACAGUGUUGGAAAUGUCGAAAAACAUACCAUUUGAAGAUCCAUGGUAUUAUUAAAGAUUCCUUGAAGCAAUAUUUUUCAACGGAUGGAGAUUGUGGUAUAUUAUACUGUAUAUAAUUACAGGCCAAGGUGGUGUCAACUUUAACUGUGCUGUGCCACUGUUACAGAGGCCUUCACUGGUAGGAUCUUUAGCUUGCUUUCAUAUGGACGAAAUACUGGAAUGAGUGGCUCAGUGAAAACUAGUGGCAUUGUAAGUAGGUGUGUGUUAUUAUCAGGGUCAGAGAACGUCAGCUCUCCAGCUGCACUCUGAUCCUCUGGGGGUCCUGAACCACUUUGAGACCAGGCUUACCGUCAUUCUCAUUUGGGGACAUUACUACGUAUACACCACAAGUAUGCAAAACACCCCAGAUGUCAUCCCAUAUAUCAUGAUUACUGACAAAGUCGGGGGCCACACCUAGAAACCAAAAGUGACUGUCCCCAACCUCCACGUCCCAGCUGUUUGUCGCUGAGUUGAAACCCCCAGAACCCCUAACACAUACAUAGCCAAAACUCUCCAGGUGGUCAGGAAGCUGCAGUGUUCUAUCACCAACUCUCACACGGGUCAGAUCCUCAGACAGGAUAAGACAGGGGUGGGCAGUGUUGGGGUCCAGAAUCACAGGAGUUGAACAGAGACAACAAGGUUUUAAUAUGUCAUUUAGCAGAAACUUUUAUCCAAAGCAACUUAGUCAAGCGUGCAUGUACAUAUGGGUGGUCCAGGGAAUCAAACCCCCAAUCCUAGCAUUGCAAGCGCCGUGCUCUACCAACUGAGCCAUACGGGACCAUUUGAAAUAUUUAACAUAAAAUCAGACCCACAAUCUUAUCAGAGAUCAUAAAUGUAUUUUUUCUGUAAGAAACUGUAUUGAACAAUCCCCUGCAUCUUCUCCUAGACUUUGUAGGACAGAUUGCCCAAAUGUUUGGCCACGUCUAUCAGCGCUCCUGAGACUAGCUGUGGAGCCGGCAGUGUCCACUGGGCUCUGUAAGAACAUUAGUGCUGCUGUGGGGUCGGGUUCAGAACCAACAGAGAAGAGAGAGACAGUCACAGGAGGGAGAUCACUUACCUGUUCACUGUGGCCUGGUAGGUCUGCAGAGGAAUGAAAAAAACAGUGGCAGCUAUCCUGGCCGCCUCUUCAUCUCGUAGGAACUGGUGAAGCUUCUCACCGCUUUCUUAAUCUGCUUCUCUGUGUGCUGGGCCUGGGUCUGGAGACACAAUCUAAUUACAUCUCUGAAAAUAUGACCUCUCUCAUUUUAACUUUCAACAUCCUGUAAAAUGUCAACAUCACCUCCGAUACCACUCCAGAGAGAUGGAGGAUAACGUUUUUUUUUGUAUUGCCCAGAAUGAGAGGAGAAUGGAGAGAAAAAGGACUGGAAUAUGUCUGGAGAAGCAGUAAGGAGAACCCUCACUUGGUAUUUAGGCCAUGUUGGUGCAACAGUUGAAGAUGGAUGGAAGAUGUUUUUUUUUUGGUCCCAUCAUCCUCAUCAUCAUUUGCACCAUCUGCUACACCAUCUUAGUUAACCUGCUAAGGCUAAAGAAGAGAGCAAGAGUGUGGAGGCGUGCUACACUGCUCCCUGCCAAUGACCUUUUUGAUGUUGAAUGUUGCUAAGAGACAGAACUGAAAGGGAAAGUUGACCGAGAUUGAAAAGUGUCUUGUUACUUGAAGUUGACCUUUGCUUAUUGUCUAAGUUUGGGGGGGGGGGGUUCUGUUUAGAACCACAGUUCACUGUUUUAAAAUGUGUGAAGUCAAUGGAUGUUUGGUUUGUGUCAUAUCCACAUUCAAUUACUUUAAAUUUAGUGGAGACAAUGGAGUGUGGUUAGUGUUAUAUUCACAAUCAAUCACUUCGAAAAUAGUCAUGAGUUUGGCUUGCACCGAAGGGUUUUUCCAUAAGAGGCGGCCCAAUCAGAUUAGAAAAGGGGAUAAGGGGCCUCCCGGGUGGCGCAGUGGUUAAGGGCGCUGUACUGCAGCACCAGCUGUGCCACCAGAGACUCUGGGUUUGCGCCCAGGCCCUGUCGUAACCGGCCUCGACCGGGAGGUCCAUGGGGCGACGCACAAUUGGCCUAGCGUCGUCCGGGUUAGGGAGGGUUUGGCUGGUAGGGAUAUCCUUGUCUCAUCGCGCACCAGCGACUCCUGUGGCGGGCCGGGCGCAGUGCACACUAACCAAGGUUGCCAGGUGCACGGUGUUUCCUCCGACACAUUGGUGAGGCUGGUUUCCGGGUUGGAUGCGCGCUGUGUUAAGAAGCAGUGCGGCUUGGUUGGGUUGUGUAUCGGAGGACGCAUGACUUUCAACCUUCGUCUCUCCCGAGCUCGUACGGGAGUUUUAGCGAUGAGACAAGAUAAUAGCUACUAACAAUUGGAUACCACGAAAAGGGGGUAAAAAAAUGUUUUUUAAAGAGAAGGGGAUAGGAUAACAGAGAGCAUUCUUCCUCUUCUUUUGGAUAAUGAAGAUCUGCUAGACUUGUGAGCAGUAGAGCCUGGUGGGAGGAGCUAUAGGAGGACAAGCUCAUUGUAAUGGCUGGAAUGGCAUAAAAGGAAUGAAGUCAAAUGUGGUUUCCACUUUUGAUGAUACCAUUCCAUUUAUUCCGUUCCAACCAUUACAAAUUAGCCUGUCUUAUUAUAGCUCCUCCCACCAGCCUCUACUGCUUGUGAGUAUUCUUAGGGAGUUUUACUUAAAAGCUACAGAUCUAGUUAUGCAUGUCUGUCUUUACUAAAGGUGUUUCAUGCCAAUACUGUGUGUUGGUGAACUGCCGUUAGCACAAGAUUAAUUGUGCUAUUAACAGAUUACUAGAAGGAAACACUGUAUUUUAUAUUGUACUCAUGAUUGACUAUUGACUGAAAGGAUGUAUUUGUAUUACUUUGAUAGUUACAAAUAAAGUAUUAUGUGUUAGAAGGAAAAGCUUAAUGCCUUCUAUGCUCGCUUCGAGGCAAACAACACUGAACCAUGCAUGAGCGCACCAGCUGUUCCAGAUGACUGUGUGAUCACGCUCUCCGUAGCCGAUGUGAGUAAGACCUUUAAACAGAUCAACAUUCACAAGGCCACAGGGCCAGGCGGAUUACCAGGAUCCAUACACAGAGCAUACCCUGACCAACUAUCAAGUGUCUUCACUGACAUUUUCAACCUCUCCCUGAACAAGUCUGUAAUAUCUAAUGUGUUUCAAGCAGACCACCAUAGUCGCUGUACCCAAGAAUGCCAAGGUAACCUGCCUAAAUGACGACAGCCUCAUAGCACUCACGUCUGUAGCCAUGAAGUGUUUGAAUGACUGGACAUGGCUCACAUCAACACCUUAAUCCCAGAAACCCUAGACCCACUGCAAUUUGCAUACAGAACCAUAGAUGACGCAAUCUCUCUUGCACUCCACACUGCCCUUUCCCACCUGGACAAAAGAAACACCUGCGUGAGAAUGCUGUUUGCUGACUACACCUCAGCAUUCAACACCAUAGUUGUGUUUUAUUG